AUUGAACGCUGGCGGCAAGCCUAACACAUGCAAGUCGAACGAGUGGCGGACGGGUGAGUAAUGUCUGGGAAACUGGCUGAUGGAGGGGGAUAAAUACUGGAAACGGUAGCUAAUACCGCAUACCAUCGGAUGUGCCAAGAUGGGAUUGGCUAGUAGGUGGGGUAAAGGCUCACCUGGGCGACGAUCCCUAGCUGGUCUGAGGGGAUGACCAGCCACACUGGAACUGAGACACGGUCCAGACCCCUACGGGAGGCAGCAGUGGGGAAUAGUGCACAAUGGGCGCAAGCCUGAUGCAGCCAUGCCGCGUGUAUGAAGAAGGCCUUCGGUUUGUAAAGUACUUUCAGCGGGGAGGCGUUACCCGCAGAAGAAGCACCGGCUAACUCCGUGCCAGCAGCCGCGGUAAUUC
rnacentral:rRNA from 1 species